rnacentral:rRNA from 1 species
GAUGAACGCUGGCGGCGUGCCUAAUACAUGCAAGUCGAGCGAACAGACGAGGAGCUUGCUCCUUCGACGUUAGCGGCGGACGGGUGAGUAACACGUAGGUAACCUACCUAUAAGACUGAGAUAACUUCGGGAAACCGGAGCUAAUACCGGAUAAUAUUUCGAACCGCAUGGUUCGAUAGUGAAAGAUGGCUUUGCUAUCACUUAUAGAUGGACCUGCGCCGUAUUAGCUAGUUGGUAAGGUAACGGCUUACCAAGGCAACGAUACGUAGCCGACCUGAGAGGGUGAUCGGCCACACUGGAACUGAGACACGGUCCAGACUCCUACGGGAGGCAGCAGUAGGGAAUCUUCCGCAAUGGGCGAAAGCCUGACGGAGCAACGCCGCGUGAGUGAUGAAGGUCUUCGGAUCGUAAAACUCUGUUAUUAGGGAAGAACAAACGUGUAAGUAACUGUGCACGUCUUGACGGUACCUAAUCAGAAAGCCACGGCUAACUACGUG